AUAUCAAUAAGCGGAGGAAAAGAAACCAACAGGGAUUACCUCAGUAACGGCGAGUGAAGCGGUAACAGCUCAAAUUUGAAAGCUGCCAACAGGCCGCGUUGUAAUUUGUAGAAGCUGCUUUGGGUGUCGGCCCGGUCUAAGUUCCUUGGAACAGGACGUCAUAGAGGGUGAGAAUCCCGUAUGUGAUCGGUGCCGUUGCCCGUGUAAAGCGCUUUCGACGAGUCGAGUUGUUUGGGAAUGCAGCUCAAAAUGGGUGGUAAAUUUCAUCUAAAGCUAAAUAUUGGCCAGAGACCGAUAGCGCACAAGUAGAGUGAUCGAAAGAUGAAAAGCACUUUGGAAAGAGAGUUAAACAGUAC
rnacentral:rRNA from 1 species